AUGAAUGACUAUAAUAUACACAUUUCACUUUUUGAAUGGAAUUAGUGAAAUAAAACUUUUUGAUGAUAUUCUAAUUAUAUGACCAGCACCUGUACAGAAACACCAUCAGUCAGAAUCUUUCGACUGAGGAGCACUUAGCAUGACUUACUGGGCAGUGUAGUGACAUGACAAGCUACGCAUUGUUUGUUCCCAUUGUGUCAGGGAACCAGGGUUAUGUGAGUAACCAUAGCAUUCCCUUUCAAUACGGUUCACUCGCAUUGUGUCAGUUUUGCUGAUGCUUAUGAGGAACUUAAAGGGAUAGUUUACCCAAAAAUGAAAAUUAUUCAAUGAUUUACUCACCCUCAAGCCAUCCUAGGUGAAUAUUACUAUCUUCUUUUAGACGAACACAAAAAAUAUAAAAAUAUCCUAAGCCCCCGAGGUUUAUAAUGAUUAAGAAUGGCAGCCCAAAUUUUGAAGACAAAAAAAAAAAAAAAAGCACCCAUCCUUAAAAAAAUUAAUCCAUAUGACUCUAGGGGGUUAAUAAAGGCCUUCUGAAGGGAAUCAAUGCAUUUGUGUAAGACAAAUAUCCUUAUUUAAAACUUUAUAAAGUAAAAUAACAAGCUUCUGGUGCGACAUUCAUAUGCAUUUGACGUAUGUCCAAAAAGUGUUAACUUCCAUUAAGUAAUACACAAUGCCAUGACAUGUCAUGUUCUACACUACGUCAUGACGUGUAACGGAUAAACGGUUACCUGUUUUAGUAUUGUAUUUUAGCUACCUUAUUCUUGUUGAUUUCUUAGUGUGUAUUUGGGAAAUCACUUGUAGUACCACAAGGAGCAGCUUGAGGGCGCUAGUGCCUGGAAGUAACCGGACAUAUAAGCUUGGGCACCAUAGAGUAAGUUAGUUGGAUAUUAGUAAAAUAACAUCUGCUUAUUUAAGUGUGUAUGCUGUAGAGUUAGUUGCCAUUUUGGAAGCAGUAGAGUGGAUUGUAGAAAAAGUGGUGCCAACAGCAGUGGCAUAAUGAAACAAAAGGGAGGCAUUUAUAUUCUAUACAAAACAAAGUGGGUGUAUCAAGAGAUAAUGGUAUGAGUAGGAGAGAACAAGCCAUUUUAAGCAGAAUAAGAAUGGGGCAUAGAAACUUUAAUGGCACUCUAUGUAUUACGGGGCAACACCCAACAGGAGUGUGCACCCAGUGUCAGGAGUGUGAGACAGUUGAGCAUGUUUUAAUAUCUUGUGGGAGGUUUAUUCAAGAAAGACAAGAAAUGAUGACCCAGUUACAGAGUUUAGGACGGGUAGAGGGAAAUGUUAAAAGUAUUUUAGAAUGUGCAGAGAAACAAAAAGGCAGGAAAUACUUAAAAGGUUUUUUUUAAAAGAAACUGGAUUGGAAAAGAGAAUAUAGUGUAAAAGGAAUUUAAUUCAGUAGAUGGCACUAAUGCGACAAAUUGGAUGCCAGCUGUAAAACCUCGAAGAAGAAGUAAGUUUGUUUGUUUAGUAGAGGGAAGCUUCAUGGUUUGAACUCGUGCUACCUUCUUGCUCAUCUAAAGUCCUUUGUUUAGAACUCUUUGAGUUUCUGCUCAACUAAAGGAGUUUUUAAUGUCACGUGUGCCUUAUCAUUGUGUUCCUUGUGAGAGCACUUAUUGGUUAUUAGAGACCUCGAAUCCUAGUUUAACUCAAGCUGGUAGCGAAGCUACAGCACAUGGCCUUAACUUACACGGUGCUGUGGAUGACUCAACAAACGACGUUGACUGCAGUUAUUUCUCUCAUGUGGAUUAUAGAAUUUCAAACAUUGCAUCGCACUCAAAUAACCUUGUGGAUUUAAAGCUCAUUUCAUCUUCAUCUCUUCAACUCAUCAAAAGACUGGACAUUCAAACGCUAAGUUUACUUCAUCUCAUUGACUCAUUUAAAAGAGACAAAGUUUGCUUUCCAUUUUAUUCAUUGACUUUGUGGCACAUGUAUAUAAGCACUUGUGGGGAAAAUAAAAUAGGUUUAUAAGAUCAUUUGUUUUGUGAAGUGGUUUUUAUAUAUAUCAAUAAAUGUCAAAAAUCUGUUGAACCCCUCAGAGUAACAUCUAAAAAACAAAGGAGGUACAGAAUCAAAGUUUCUCUGUGAGCUGACAACUUGAAAGUGCUUGAUUCGAGAGCCCCUCGAUCAGCUGUAUAAAGAGAGUUUCAGACCGCAGUCGGAGCGUGCUACAUAAUACGUAAUUAUUUUUAGACUGACAACACCUUUGCUUGAAGAGCAGGGAUGUCCAGGUUGUAAAAUCUGAUGAAAGUGGAUGGCGAAGACCAGCCAGCCACCGCAAAGAUAUCUGCAAUAGAGACUCUGAUAGACCAAGCACAAGAGGAGGCCAUACCUCUAGUGGAGUGGGCCCUCAAUCCUAAGGGGCACAAGUCGACGGACUUGUAAGCCAAACCAGCAGCCCUUUAGUGUGUCCUCUAAAGCUGCUCUGAUUGCCGAAACUGGCCAGAGUCUCCAUUCCCCCGGCGGCAGUCCACCACGUGAAAGCAUGUCCACUCCUACAUUCAAGGAGCCUGGCACGUGAACCAACAUCAAUGAGCUGAGGUUCUUCUGUGCCCAUAGGAGAAGACAACUUGCCAGUCUGUGAAGAGGGCAAGACCUGAUACCUUGGUUGUUUAUGAAGGCAACCACCGUCCUGUUGUCAGAGCAGACCAGGACAUGAUGACCUCUGAGUUCUGUCCAGAACUCAUUGAAGGCCAAGAUUACCGCCAACAUCUCUAGACGGUUAAUGUGCUAAUUCAUCAAGGGAGUCACACAUGAGUCGAAAGCUAUUCUUCCAUCACAUAGAGCAUCCCAACCCAUCUUGGAGGCAUCUGUCAUGACCACUUUCCAUCUGGAAACAAAGACCUGCAUUAUCCCGUUCUGAUAAAGGUGGGAAGACUUCCAAGGAACCAAGGCCUUGACACAGCGGUGGGUCACCCUGAGAGAGUGUUGGCCCAUUUGCCACAAAUGAGGUGGGACACGACCUUUUAACCAAUGCUGAAGUGGUCGCAUAUGGAGCAGGCCAAGUGGAACUACUGAGGAAGCUGCCGCCAUCAGGUUUAUUGAUGACUCAUAUGAGCUCUGAGUCCACAUGGGGCCGCACAUCAUCAGUCUCUUUAAGCAGCGGAGGGACGGAGUCAUCACCGGAGUUUGCCCACUCACCACACUCAGAAGCUGCCAGAGACAUCAAAUUUAAUUCGAUGUUAGACCCGCCACUCGCAGCAGAUGAGGGGCGCUGAUCUUCACUGCUCAGGCUGGUGGCUCCGCUUCUUCCUUCACCUCGGCUCGAGAGGAUAAGGAGAUGUGGGAGUGGGCACACUGAAAAGUGCGAUUCGAUCACACCAUGAUGCGAGGCUCAGCUUCUCUCAGUGUGGGAAGCUGGAGUCUAGAAGAGCCCCUAUGACUAAGGAUAUUUUUAAAUAUAUAUCUGAUUGUGUUCGUCUGAAAGAAGAUAGUCAUAUACACCUAGAAUGGCUUGUGGGUGAGUAAAUCAUGGGAUAAUUUUCAUUGUGAACUAUCCAUUUAAGGGCUGUUCACACCAUAGACAAUAACUUUAACAGUAGCUAUAACUAUAGUUUUAAUUUUCUAAUUCUUCAAGAAUAGUGAAGUCCACACCACGUAUAUAAUGAUAAUGACACAGAUUAACAAUAUGGUUGGAAUUCAUUUUAGGACAAUUUUCUUCCAUCUUAUGAAUGAUCAAAAACACUUGACAGCCAAUCAGAAUCCAUUUGCCUCCAGUACAUGCAUUUAAACCAACAGAUGACAUAAAUAUCACUUAUAAUAAACAGAAUGUGAUUGAU